ACUGGCAGAGUAUUACUUAGGUACUGGUGUGACUUUGUAAGAAAAUUUUCUUUCGAGAAUAACAACAGCCAGUACUUAUGUCAUACUGUCCCAGU
rnacentral:pre_miRNA from 2 species